AUCAGCACCUUCUUACAGUUCUAAAGUCUGAAUGCUAAAGAGCGGUGGUGGUGGUGGAGGAGAAAGGGAGACUCUCUCAGCUACCUCUGGUAAAUCUGCAUGAAGGGCAUGAAAGAAAUAGGCAUUCCAUUUGAUUGUUCUGCAGCAACAGAUUAAUAUGGAAACCAUAUGCCAGUGGAGGAGAGAAGAACUAAGUGGGCAUUUUGAAUGGAAGGGCACC